GACAGAGGUGCCGAGCGUUAGGCGGAAUCACUGGGCUUAAAGCGUGUGUAGGCGGAUCGUUAAGUGUCUUGUGAAAUCCCCCGGCUCAACCGGGGAACUGCUGGGCAUACUGGCGAUCUUGAGCGGCCUAGGGGCAGAUGGAACAAGUGGUGGAGCGGUGAAAUGCGUAGAUAUCACUUGGAACGCCAAAGGUGAAAACAGUCUGCUGGGGGCCUGCUGACGCUGAGACACGAAAGCCAGGGGAGCGAACGGG
rnacentral:rRNA from 1 species